UGCUGAACUCUGAAAAGAGUGCAGAAAAAUGGACCCCAAAAUGGGUUUUGCUGCUCCACCUGUGGUCAUUUAGCACCCUCUGAAAUGAAUUUUCUGAGCAUGCAAGACAUAUACAUUCUAACUAAAUCAGCACCUACAAAACCUAGAAGAGAUUUAUUCCCGCUUUGGGGUUCACUGGUCAUAUCUGAUCACACCUGCACAAGGUAUGUGGGACAACUUUAGCAACUUUUAAAAUGUACUUCAGUGAAGUAAUAUUUUUACCUUGUUUAAAUUUUACUGCUAGCAGUAAGUUAGAUCAGAGUUGUUACUGCCAAGGAGCCAGCUAUUGAGUGAAUUUUUCAUUUCCACAUAAUCUUAUUCAUGGUUUGUCUGCUCAAGUAAACAUGGCUAACUUUGCUCUCAGCUAACUGAAAACAUUCAUAAGGUCAAAUCUAGUGUAAACAAAAACCUGUGUCCUGAAGCACAGAGAAAACACACAACAUUUUUUCAACAUGUUUUGACUUCUGAUUUUUUCUCACAGCUUUGUGUGGUCUGUAUAGGAAAGCCUCAUACUGCUGUUGAUAUUCCUGCUAUCAAGUGCAGUUUUAAGCUCCUUUUCCUCACAGGGCUUGCUAUUUAGAAGAAAAUCUUGGUGCAAUGGAGUUUACUAGCUGCCCUUUCCUUCAGACAAUUUUACUUUCUCUCUUGACAAGUGUGCUGGGAACCCUUUGACCUCAUCUUUCACAUUCCCUGUUGCACAAAUAACACUGAGUUGUGACUAUCACACAUAACACAGUGGCUGACUUUACCAGUUGCUGAGGCUUCCAUAAUGCCUUUGAAGCAAAACCAAAAAGCACUGUUACUUGGAAUCCUGGAAAUUACAAAUUUGAUUUUCAGCUGUAAAGGCUGGCACAACUUUGCUAAGGCUGAUGCCAGGUUACAGCAAUUUAGAUGCUAAACCUACAGGGGAAGAAAGGAAUUUAGAGCUUUACAAACCAUCUUAAACAUUAAAAUAUAAUUAAGGAUAACAUAAUAUAAUCUACUUUGUCUUAGAGAUGUCUCUAUGUUGAUGAGAUUCAAAAAAUGCUCUGUGUUUUUCCUUCUUUUUCUGCAUUUAAGCUAUAGCACCUCUGUAGUGUUUGUGCUUUUGAACAGAUAGAACGACUUGCAACAGAUCUAGUUUGAAUUUGAGCCAUAUUUUGGGGAAGGAUUGUUUUUUAUUGAUCUGCACCAAUUGCAUCUUCCUUUUGAAUGCAAUUGUAUUUCCAGAUGGAAAAUAUUUUAGUGUUGUAGCUACAAUAUUGAAGUGCUGUAGCUUUUCAGCUACUCCUGAGCUAAGUGUUAUUGAGGUUAUAUAACCCAGCAGAAUUUGUAUUCUAGUGCAAAUUAGAGUGUGGGAUUUCUAUUUUCCUCCAGAAUUCCACAGAAAAGAAACCCUGAAAUAGCUAUUAGCCUUGUGAGAUGGGCACUAGUCUGACGUGUAAGAAACUGCUCUCCUAAUACUCAGGUGCAGAUCCUAAUGACCUCCUUUUAAUAGUGCAAAGCAUCUAAAGGGCUUUGAGCCAGAAGGCAGGAGUCUUCAUCUGUAGAUUGCCUAAAUUCUAUCACAGGGCUCCAGCAGUAUCUAAUCAAAUCUCUAAUUCUGCAGCUUUAUAGUGACAUUCCAAUUCCAUAGUGAAUGCAUGAGUUUCAGUCUGAUUCUCUUCAUCCCAAAACCGACAUCCUUCUAUAUCCAUGUUCUAUUUCACAACUUCUGCAAAAUGUUUCUGCCCAAGAAUGCAUAUGUAAAGGUGUAUAGGUCUUGUGUGUGUAUCAAUAUCACUGUAAUGACUGUCUGAUUUUCUCAUAAAUUAGAGCAUCAAAGAAUAAUACAGCUGUAAGAAGAUUGAUAGGAAAACUAACCCUAAGCUGCUUCCUGUAUGAGAUGAAAGGAAGUUGAUGUGUAUACUUUGGAUGGUGCAGAGAACCUGAAAAUAUGCUGUACAUACACUGGCUUAUGUGUGAUGGAUGUUAACACAGGUAAAGAUGAAACCUUGGAUUACCAUGGAGUCAAGUUGAUGUCACUGGCAGCAUCGGAGGCACCGGGAGUAAGGAAUUUGAUUAAUGUGCUCUUCCAAUGUAAAAGUAAGAGGAAAAAGAAGUGAAUUGGAGCAUAUUGAAGCCAUAGCUCUUUAGAAACUCUGCCCUGCUACAUUCAGGACCUGCCUUGCCCAAAUGUGUCACUAGACAAGGAAGCUUCACAGAGCUGGGUUGUUUCCUGCUGAAAGCAAGACUAAAAUGAACAGGCAGAGAUAGAGAGGAGAUGAGAGACACUGUCAGAGACAACAGCUAGAGCUCUUUGUUCAGUUACUUGCCUGCUAUGAUGGUUUGUCUAUAAGACCUGGCAAACUCCUAAUUUACAGUCUACUUUUUGCUUGUAACACCUUUAAAGUUGGCCUGCAAUAAGUUGCUAGGGAGCAGAGAAGAGAAAAUAAAUAAUUGCCUAUACAAAACCAGUGCUGUGCUGAAUUAAUGAAGACCAUUCUGACCACAGAGAGUGAAAAUUAUUCUAAUUGAAGGAAGAAAUAAAACUAUUCAUGUCAUUUUGAAAGAUUGGGAUCUAGAAUAACAGUAAUAAUGAAGAGGCUGAACAUACCACCAGCUAAAAAGGUGGGGGGUAACUAGAGGCUGAAGAUACUAAUGGCUGAAAAGGUAAGGGAUAACAUCCAAUAAGCUGAAUUCCUUAUGAUGUUUCUAAUGUUCUGAUCCAGUUCCCAAUAAUCAUUAGGAUUAUUGGUGUCUGAUUCCUGCAAAUCUUAAGACAAUAUGUCUGUUAAGAAUUCACUCCCUUUUGCAGGGCUUUUAUUUAAGCUUGUAAACUGCUUUGAAAACCAGGGCAUUGUUCUCAAUGUAAGAGGAAAUAAAGAUGAAAGAAAAGACCUACAGGCAAAAAGGGAUGAAAACAGCAGAAAGCUGCUGCUGAAAGUUCAGACUGCAUCUCAUUGGAGAGGUUCAGCUGGAUUAUUUCCAAAGGUUCUCUCUUCAAAGAAGCAGGUUGUGGUAAUUUGCUUACCAGUCUGCCACUGGCUUUGAUGGCAUUCAGGUACUGCAGUCCCACAGUUUGCAAACUUCCUGUGAACUUAAAUAGGGCAGGCCAGCAGAGAGGUGAAGAAUAGCUUUGGCAGAAGGCAAAUUGUGUUACUUCGAUCAUCACUGUAAUUAACUUCAUUGUUUCAGUGUUAGGCAGCUGUCUCAACCAAGCAUAUGGGAGCUGCCCUUCGGCUAGAUACUAUAUGAACAAGUCUAUUCUGAAGACAUGUGAUAUGCAAUUAUGUAAUAUUUUAGAACUGACUUAAGAAGGUUUUGGACAUUUAGAUGCUUUUGAAACCACUAGAAGUUCCAGUCUGUGUUUUCACUAAGUCCUAGAAAUAAAUGAAAGGUUUUCACGUUUGUUCACUGAUUUUCAAAGUGGCAAAGCGAGUGGGCAUUAGGAGGUUGAGCUCUCUGUCAUUUGAUAGGUUUGAUCAAUUUUCUGCUGCUUUGAAUUACUUUUGUCUUUCUGAUAAUGAGCAGCUGUCUCACAACUGUCACUCACUUCUAGAGGCAUCAUCCACAUUUGCAUGUAGGUUUCCAGUGUUUGUCUUAUGUCUGAGAUUUGGACACCUUUUAUCUCGGGAAUGAAAUAUCCAUUAAACUUUGAAAAUAAACCCCAAUCCUUCCAGAUUGUGAUUGACAUUUCUGCAUGUUUAUGACCUUAGACAGUAGGUGAAAUGCAAUUCCUACUGGACUUUUUUUGCUUUUCUAUCAAUUUCUCGUUGUUUCAAGUGUUGACGGGUUCCAUGUUGUUUAUUGAUUUUUUAAUAGAAAUUAUUACCAUGCAUUUUUUCAUGAUUUCCACAACUCUGCUUCUCAGGCUUAGCCACCAAAGGCUUGAGCCAUUUAAAACAAUCUUCUGACUUUGUGAUUGCAUGGACUAUUUAUUUACUUGAGUAGUAGUUCUCACCCUUUGCUUUCAGUUUUAUAAGUGGUUAGAUAUGUACAGACAAGGGAACAAAAUGAGGUCUAAGGCUUGCAGUAAAAAGAAGGUAAGCCAAGAAGAUGGGCCUGUGGUUUAUGAGAAGUGCCUUUUCCUACAUACAUAAACUUUUAUUUUAAACUAACUAUUUAGAGAGGAAUGUUUUUUCUCUGAUAUUUGAAUGUUUAAUUAUAGAAACCCUGGGAUUUGGGCAACUGUUUUCUCAUCAGGAUCUUGGCUUUGCUGUGCAUUACUGACAUUUAUAUUAAACCUUACUACAUCAGUAUUUCAUUUUUUUGGCAAAGCAGCAGGCGGAAUAUUUGAACAUCUGCCCAUCAGCCAUGGAAUCACACCUCAUUUAUUGAGAGAACUUGCCCCAUUAAUUUGGGCUUGUCCUUUUAUGCACUGUGCUGGGACUUGAUUUAAGUCUUCUAUUUAUCAAAAUUUGCACCACUGAACACUUUUAUGGUACAGCUUUCACUAACCUGUUUUUAUAAAUGUCACUAUGUUAGGAAAUUCAUUCAUUGCCUUGACUUGGAAAAUUAGUUUUGAACACCAGGUGCAUAUAAUGCGUACUGAACUGAGUACUGUUAUGCAACUUUAUUGAUUAACUACUAUUGUUACUGAGCAACUACAAGUAUAAAAGUGGUGUUGAGUAUGACUAACUGAUAUGACUAAUGACUUUUUAAGUUUUGUGAAACCAGCAAACAUUAACUACAGAAACUAGGAUGCGCAGAAAGAGUGAAGAACUGGUUUUGUUUCAACAAGAAACAAAUAUGUAUACUGCAUUGAAUAGCUCUGGCUGACUCCUGAAUCCCAAGUAUGCUCCAGAAACCAGAUCUCCUGACUAAAGGUGUGUCUUCUGAUCUAUUGUGAACCUACAUCUUUGGGGAGGACUGUUAGCUGAAGGGCAAGUUACUGUGGUGUUUUAAAGGAGAGGGUUCUGUGGAGAAGAACAAGAGCAAAAGGUGAGCAUUGCAAAUUGCCAUAGUAAGUGGCAUAAGUGUUUUAGGGUUUUCCUGUUUUGCUCAAAAUUUUACUGAACCUGAAACUUUUUGUAUAGAAAUUACUUUAGUGUAGGCCAUUUCUACAGCUAUGGUAAAAGUCAGAUACACGGGAGCGCUGAGAUGUGGGUACUGAGUGUGACAAAAUGCAGAGAUCAUACUACUGUAAUACACUGGCUGUUGCAGCUGUGGGCUAAGGAACCAGAUUUGUUUCACUAUGCAAUUCAUCUGACAAUGAAAAGGUGUGUAAAAUGGAUUGCUUAUGGGUACAUUAGCUUCUAUAACUUAAAGGGAUCUUGAGUACACACAAAGACCUAAGUUGCCAGUUUCUUGAGCUGGAGGUAAUAAAAAUAGUCUGCAAGGACAUGAACAGUGCUCGUAUCCUAUUCCAGGUCCACGAAGCAGAAUGAAGCCCCAGCUCAGCCCUGCACUGUGUGCAGUUCAUAGGUGAAUUUGCCUACUAUUGUCUGCAAGUCAGCAAGCUCUGGUUACCCAGUUCCUGGCCAGACUUCUUAGCUGGGGCACAGCUCCUGGGUGUCAUGGGUUAGCAAAGCAUAGUCUUGGAAGUGAUGU